rnacentral:rRNA from 1 species
UAACGAAUAUUCCGCAAUGCGCGAAAGCGUGACGGAGCAAUGCCGCGUGAAGGAUGAAGCCCCUAGGGGUGUAAACUUCUGUCAGGGUUCAGGAAUUUUGACCAGACCCAAAGGAAGGGCCGGCUAACUUCGUGCCAGCAGCCGCGGUAAUACGAAGGGCCCGAGCGUUGCGCGGAAUCAUUGGGCUUAAAGGGUGCGCAGGCGGACUCGCAAGUGCCUUGUGAAAUACCACGGCUUAACCGUGGAAUUGCUCGGUAGACUGCGAGUCUUGAGCGCGGCAGGGGCAGCCGGAACGCUAGGUGGAGCGGUGAAAUGCGUAGAUAUCUAGCGGAACGCCAAAGGUGAAGACAGGCUGCUGGGCCGCCGCUGACGCUCAGGCACGAAAGCGUGGGUAGCGAACGGGAUUAGAUACCCCCGUAGUCC